AAAGUACUCCCUCCGUCCCAAAAUUCUUGUCUUAGAUUUGUCUAGAUACGGAUGUAUCAAGUCACAUUUUAGUAUUAGAUACAUUCGUAUCUAGAUAAAUCUAAGACAAGAAAUUUGGGACAGAGGGAGUAGUUG
rnacentral:pre_miRNA from 1 species